rnacentral:ncRNA from 1 species
UGGGUAGGGGAGCGUCGUGUGCCGGGUGAAGCAGCCGCGGAAGCGAGUUGUGGACGGUUCACGAGUGAGAAUGCAGGCAUGAGUAGCGAUACACACGUGAGAAACGUGUGCGCCGAUUGACUAAGGGUUCCUGGGUCAAGCUGAUCUGCCCAGGGUAAGUCGGGACCUAAGGCGAGGCCGACAGGCGUAGUCGAUGGACAACCGGUUGAUAUUCCGGUACCCGCUUUGAAACGCCCAGUACUGAAUCAGGCGAUGCUAAGUCCGUGAAGCCGGCCCGAUCUCUUCGGAGUUGAGGGUAGUGGUGGAGCCGAUGAACCAGACUUGUAGUAGGUAAGCGAUGGGGUGACGCAGGAAGGUAGUCCAGCCCGGGCGGUGGUUGUCCCGGGGUAAGGGUGUAGGACGCACGGUAGGCAAAUCCGUCGUGCAUAUAGUCUGAGACCUGAUGCCGAGCCGAUUGUGGUGAAGUGGAUGAUCCUAUGCUGUCGAGAAAAGCCUCUAGCGAGUUUCAUGGCGGCCCGUACCCUAAACCGACUCAGGUGGUCAGGUAGAGAAUACCGAGGCGUUCGGGUGAACUAUGGUUAAGGAACUCGGCAAAAUGCCCCCGUAACUUCGGGAGAAGGGGGGCCAUCACUGGUGAUAGCACUUGCUGCUUGAGCUGGGGGUGGCCGCAGAGACCAGCGAGAAGCGACUGUUUACUAAAAACACAGGUCCGUGCGAAGCCGUAAGGCGAUGUAUACGGACUGACGCCUGCCCGGUGCUGGAACGUUAAGGGGACCGGUUAGCUGCCUUUCGGGGUGGCGAAGCUGAGAACUUAAGCGCCAGUAAACGGCGGUGGUAACUAUAACCAUCCUAAGGUAGCGAAAUUCCUUGUCGGGUAAGUUCCGACCUGCACGAAUGGCGUAACGACUUCUCGACUGUCUCAACCAUAGGCCCGGUGAAAUUGCACUACGAGUAAAGAUGCUCGUUUCGCGCAGCAGGACGGAAAGACCCCGGGACCUUUACUAUAGUUUGAUAUUGGUGUUCGGUUCGGCUUGUGUAGGAUAGGUGGGAGACUGUGAAGCGGCCACGCCAGUGGUUGUGGAGUCGUCGUUGAAAUACCACUCUGGUCGUGCUGGAUGUCUAACCUGGGUCCGUGAUCCGGAUCAGGGACAGUGUCUGAUGGGUAGUUUAACUGGGGCGGUUGCCUCCUAAAGAGUAACGGAGGCGCCCAAAGGUUCCCUCAGCCUGGUUGGUAAUCAGGUGUUGAGUGUAAGUGCACAAGGGAGCUUGACUGUGAGACCGACGGGUCGAGCAGGGACGAAAGUCGGGACUAGUGAUCCGGCAGUGGCUUGUGGAAGCGCUGUCGCUCAACGGAUAAAAGGUACCCCGGGGAUAACAGGCUGAUCUUCCCCAAGAGUCCAUAUCGACGGGAUGGUUUGGCACCUCGAUGUCGGCUCGUCGCAUCCUGGGGCUGGAGUCGGUCCCAAGGGUUGGGCUGUUCGCCCAUUAAAGCGGUACGCGAGCUGGGUUUAGAACGUCGUGAGACAGUUCGGUCCCUAUCCGCUGUGCGCGUAGGAAUAUUGAGAAGGGCUGUCCCUAGUACGAGAGGACCGGGACGGACGAACCUCUGGUGUGCCAGUUGUCCUGCCAAGGGCAUGGCUGGUUGGCUACGUUCGGAAAGGAUAACCGCUGAAAGCAUCUAAGCGGGAAGCCUGCUUCGAGAUGAGUAUUCCCACCAACUUGAUUGGUUAAGGCUCCCAGUAGACGACUGGGUUGAUAGGCCAGAUGUGGAAGCCCGGUAACGGGUGGAGCUGACUGGUACUAAUAGGCCGAGGGCUUGUCCUC